GUCAGGUGACCAAAGAGACUCUGGGAAUCUGAAGAUAUCACUGUUUCUACAUCCUGAUCCAUUUAACUGCCAAAGACAUAUGAAAUGUCAUUUUGGUCCAUCCUAACCGUAUCAUCCUAACAGUGAGCAUAAAUAUACGUGGUACCACGUGACAAUGAGUUUCAGAAAGCUGAUGGAAACCUCUGGAACACUGAAUGACCUUCAUUUUGAUGUUCAGUUAUGGAAAAUAAUUUUUUGUACUUUUUGUACAUUUUAUUAAGGCAUUAAAAAAUUAACCUGUUACAGUUUUUCUUGAUCGUUUUUGUUCGCUCGUGAUGUUUUUACAGGGUCUGUUUAGUUAGAAAUUAGCUAAAUCUGACAAAACCUCCUUUUGAAGAUAUAAGCACAUUAUAAAUGUUAUACUUUGAGUUAUAUAAUAUAAACCACUUGUUUUCCUCAUUUGGAUAAAAGUGUCAAAUGUCAAUAGAGCCAUGUUUAUGUAAAAAGUUGUCUAGUUUUAUAUGAGUGCUGUGUGUGUUCAGUAUUUUUCUAUGACUGACUCUUAAGGGUGUGGCUCAAGAU
rnacentral:lncRNA from 1 species